CCUACGGGUGGCAGCAGUGGGGAAUAUUGGGCAAUGGGCGAAAGCCUGACCCAGCAACGCCGCGUGAAGGAAGAAGGCUUUCGGGUUGUAAACUUCUUUUGACAGGGAAGAGCAGAAGACGGUACCUGUCGAAUAAGCCACGGCUAACUACGUGCCAGCAGCAGCGGUAAUACGUAGGUGGCAAGCGUUGUCCGGAUUUACUGGGGGUAAAGGGCGUGUAGCCGGGCUGACAAGUCAGAUGUGAAAUCCGGGGGCUCAACCCCCGAACUGCAUUUGAAACUGUUGGUCUUGGGUAUCGGAGAGGCAGGCGGAAUUCCGAGUGUAGCGGUGAAAGGCGUAGAUAUUAGGAGGAAGAGCAGUGGCGAAGGCGGCCUGCUGGACGACAACUGACGGUGAGGCGCGAAAGCGUGGUGAGAAAACAGGAUUAGAUACCCGGGUAGUC
rnacentral:rRNA from 1 species